rnacentral:lncRNA from 1 species
GCCACAGGGUGACAAACAAGAGACAGGUUUCUGCCAAAGGUUCCAGCUGCUGCCUUUCCCUCCUGCUGUUCUUUCAGGAGGCUGUCAUCUUGGAUCCUGGCCUUUCCCCCAGUGCAGCCAGGUGGAGCACACCAGCCCGGAGACCCAGUCAGUCUGAAUUCUAAUCCUGCCUCCACCCUGUAGUGACUUGGACAAGUAAAACUUCACUGGUCUCAGUUUCCUCAUCUGUGAAGUGACACAAUGACAAGCCGGGCCUCCAAGGACUGUGAAGAUUCAGUCAAUUACCUGAGGGAGAAAGAGAAAAAGUUGAGUUCUCUAAGGUCACAGAAUAAAGAGCAAGCAGGAGCAACCCGAGUGGAGCUGCCUGCAGCCCAUGCACUUGCCGGUACAACCUGGAGUCCCUGGCGGAGGAUAUGGGAUGCACCUUAACUUAGCAGAUGUCUUUGGAGCACUGGUUAGACCAACCCCAUGCUAGGCACCAAGGAUCCAGGAUCUCACCAAGCAGAAGAGGGGCCAGAUGACAAUCGAGGAACCAGAACCUCAUUGCAAGUAUGAGAAGAGCUGAAGGGAAGAGUGAAACUAGACACAGAGAGAUGUCAGCCCCAGAGACCCAGGGACACCACCUCAAAUGGGUCAUGGGUCAAAGUCAUGGGAAAUCACCUAAGUUUUGAGUGGCAAAAUAAGGGUAAAUGUUGGGAAGAUCACUCCACUUGGAAGGAAUGGCCGGUGCAAAGACCUUGGGGCAUGAUCUACAGAAAGGUGACUUCGGGUUGGUGAGAUGGCUCAGUGGGUAAAGGUGCUUGCCACCAAGCCUGACGUCCUGAGUUUGAUCCUUGAGGUCCAUAUAGUGGAAGGAGAAAAUUGACUCCUGUCAAUUGUCCUUUGACUGGGCCACAUGCAUCCCAUGGCACAUGUGUGGCCUAGCCCUCCUCAAGCAAAU